CAGAACAACAAAUGGUCCUGAACACUAGGAGAAAACCUUUCCGGCACAAUUGUUGACUAUGAUGGACGGGUACUUGCGGCUGAGCCAGCGGAAGAACGCCGGGACUCCCAUAGCGGCACACGGCUGGAGGCGGCGGCCGACCGGCUGACGAGCGUAACCAAAGAGACGGGAGCAGCGGCAGAGGGCACCAGCACUUCCUCCCACGUGCGCGCUGGAGAACGGAAGUGACGUCACGGCGCCGCCGCCGGGGAAGCUGGGAAGGAGGCUUCGCUGGAUGAGGGAGCGGCGGAAAAGGGCCUUGCCGGGCUGUUUGUGGGAGGCGGAGUCCGGCGGCGGACCGGGUGGCGAAGGCUGCAGCUCGCCCUCGGUGGUCCCAGCCCCGGAGCGCGAGGCCG
rnacentral:lncRNA from 1 species